AGUGGGUAGGGGUCGGAGAUGCUGCUAAACCUCCUACAGUGCACGAGACCGCCCCCACAAUAUCGAAUUAUCCAGCCCCAAAUGUCAAUUGUGCUAUGGUUCAGAAACCCUGAUCUAGAAGCUUGUUGAAAUUGCACAUCUGUUAAUAACUUCACACCAUAACAUUUUUGUUGUCAUGAAUUUGUUAUUUUAAUCACUCAUUCAUCAUCAAUUUAAAAAGUCCAGAGAAAUGAUAUAAAAUAUGUGCUAAGUCUGCAUUAUUGAACUGGAAGUCUGUGAGCUGUAUUGUUAAUUAUUCCUACUUAUAUUUGUAAAAAGAGGCAUAGAAUUCCCUAAGAUUACCAAAAAAAUCUAAUAGCCCCCUCUUAUAUUUAACGAACCAACUAGGACUUUAUAAAUUUUUAUUUUCCACUCCUUAUUUUUAUUCUCAUUCCCAUGCUUCUUCCUCACAUAAGGUAAGACUUUUUGUGUAUAUCACUAUGGAAAACUACAGUGCUAAAUAUGUCCAAUAGAAAACUCAGUUGACAUGCAUCACAGCCAUGCCAGCCAAGACAAAAAUAUUUGUUUGCAAAGAUAUAUAGUUAAUUCCAAACAACAUUUUUGCAUAUUUUUUUCCAUUUCCACAAAGAAAUGUGGAUAUUAUUGCAAAGUAUUUGUAAUUAGAGGCAUUUGAUCUCAUCUCUAGUUUCUUUUUUUCCCUUUUUUAUGUACCUGACAAGGCAUUUUUUUUUUUCUGUUCCAUGUCACUCCACAGAGAUAAGUGUAGCCCUACGUUUCGUACGGGAGCCUCUCACCUCCCUGUACAUUCAGGGCUCCAGCUCAUACAGCCGGCGAGUGAAGUGGAGUUCUGGGAGCUUCCUUGUCACAGUUCUGGAAAAAGAGAUUCCCUCUGUAGCAUCUCCUGGGGGAACAUCUGCUUCGUGUUUCUCUGGCAUUUGGAAACUGUGUCCCACUGCCACACGUGAGACUGCAUGCAAACGUGGAUAGCAAGAGAGCACCUCGACUUUUGAUUUCCUGAGAUUACCGUGAUGUUUUUAGUUAUGAAAGAAGCCUCUUCCCUUCCCCAAAUACCUGGACCUAGAAAAAUGUGAGAAUGGUAUGACGUCUGUUUUGGCUUACAUCUCCCAGAAUGAGCUGAGAAGGAGGUUUAUGGAGGGCGCUUUACUGAGGAGAGUGACCCCCGUGGGCAGGAG
rnacentral:lncRNA from 1 species